UACGGGGGGGGCAAGCGUUGUUCGGAAUUACUGGGCGUAAAGGGCUCGUAGGCGGCUUUGUAAGUUAGAGGUGAAAGCCCGGGGCUCAACUCCGGAACUGCCUUUAAGACUGCAUCGCUUGAAUCCAGGAGAGGUGAGCGGAAUUCCUGGUGUAGCGGUGAAAUGCGCAGAUAUCAGGAGGAACACCGAUGGCGAAGGCAGGUCUCUGGGCAUUAACUGACGCUGAGGAGCGAAAGCAUGGGGAGCGAACAGG
rnacentral:rRNA from 1 species